GGCGGAGUAGCUCAGCUGGUUAGAGCGCACGACUCAUAAUCGUGAGGUCGCGGGAUCGAGCCCCGCCUCCGCUACCA
rnacentral:tRNA from 3 species